rnacentral:rRNA from 1 species
UACGUAGGGGGCAAGCGUUGUCCGGAUUUAUUGGGCGUAAAGAGCGUGUAGGCGGCCACACAGGUCUGCUGUGAAAACUCGAGGCUCAACCUCGAGCUGUCGGUGGAAACCGUGUGGCUAGAGUCCGGAAGAGGAGAGUGGAAUUCCCGGUGUAGCGGUGAAAUGCGCAGAUAUCGGGAAGAACACCCGUGGCGAAGGCGGCUCUCUGGGACGGUACUGACGCUGAGACGCGAAAAGCGUGGGGAGCGACGAGGA